UACGUAGGGUGCUAGCGUUGUCCGGAAUCAUUGGGCGUAAAGAGCGUGUAGGCGGCCCGGUAAGUCCGCUGUGAAAGUCGGGGGCUCAACCCUCGAAUGCCGGUGGAUACUGUCGGGCUAGAGUGCGGAAGAGGCGAGUGGAAUUCCUGGUGUAGCGGUGAAAUGCGCAGAUAUCAGGAGGAACACCAGUGGCGAAGGCGGCUCACUGGCCCGAUACUGACGCUGAGGCACGAAAGCGUGGGGAGCAAACAGG
rnacentral:rRNA from 1 species